GACGUAGGGCGCGAGCGUUGUCCGGAUUUAUUGGGCGUAAAGAGCUCGUAGGCGGUUUGUCGCGUCUGCCGUGAAAGUCCGGGGCUCAACUCCGGAUCUGCGGUGGGUACGGGCAGACUAGAGUGAUGUAGGGGAGACUGGAAUUCCUGGUGUAGCGGUGAAAUGCGCAGAUAUCAGGAGGAACACCGAUGGCGAAGGCAGGUCUCUGGGCACUAACUGACGCUGAGGAGCGAAAGCAUGGGGAGCGAACAGG
rnacentral:rRNA from 1 species